CAACUCUGUGGAAAAAGAUAAAUCUCCCUAGGAGUAGUCGCUCCGUCGUUCGAUUUCCUAUCUUCCUUUGAGUUG
rnacentral:ncRNA from 1 species